CGUGCAGGCGGGUCGGCAAGUCUGAUGUGAAAGCCCCGGGCUCAACCUGGGAAGUGCAUUGGAAACUGCCGGUCUUGAGUUCUGGAGAGGAAGGGGGAAUUCCCGGUGUAGAGGUGAAAUUCGUAGAGAUCGGGAGGAAUACCAGUGGCGAAGGCGCCCUUCUGGACGGCAACUGACGCUGAGACGCGAAAGCGUGGGGAGCAAACAGGAUUAGAUACCCUGGUAGUCCACGCUGUAAACGAUGAGCACUAGGUGUGGCGGGUACUCAUUCCUGCUGUGCCGCAGCUAACGCGUUAAGUGCUCCGCCUGGGGAUUACGGUCGCAAGACUAAA
rnacentral:rRNA from 1 species